rnacentral:rRNA from 1 species
CAGCCGCGGUAAUACGAAGGGUGCGAGCGUUGUUCGGAAUCAUUGGGUUUAAAGGGUGCGUAGGCGGGAUAGUAAGUCAGUGGUGAAAGCCUGCAGCUUAACUGCAGAACUGCCAUUGAUACUGCUAACCUGGAGUACAGCUGAUGUGGGCGGAAUGUGUCGUGUAGCGGUGAAAUGCUUAGAUAUGACACAGAACACCGAUUGCGAAGGCAGCUCACAAAACUGUAACUGACGCUGAGGCACGAAAGUGUGGGGAUCGAAC